rnacentral:rRNA from 1 species
ACGCCGCGUGCUGGAAGACGGCCCUAUGGGUUGUAAACAGCUUUUGAUGGGGAAGAACCUGGACCGUUCGCGGACCACUGACGGUACCCAUCGAAUAAGCACCGGCUAACUCCGUGCCAGCAGCCGCGGUAAUACGGAGGGUGCAAGCGUUGUCCGGAAUCAUUGGGUGUAAAGGGUGUGCAGGCGGAAGUCUAAGUCGGAGGUGAAAUCUUGCCGCUUAACGGUAAAAGGGCCUUCGAAACUGGAUUUCUUGAGUUCGGAAGAGGUUGGUGGAAUUCGUGGUGUAGCGGUGAAAUGCAUAGAUAUCACGAAGAACACCGGUGGCGAAGGCGGCCAACUGGUCCGAUACUGACGCUGAGACACGAGAGCGUGGGGAGCGAACAGGAUUAGAUACCCUGGUAGUCCACGCUGUAAACGAUGCAUGCUAGUUGUUGUCCGUUCGCGGGCAGUGACGCAGUUAACGCAGUAAG